AUGUUGCUAAGUUCUGAGGAUCUCCUCCAAAAGGAAGAAAUGUCUCAGCCAACCCAUUUGGACAAGAGAUCUGCACAGGAGAGCUCUGUGAAAAGCAAAAACAUGGACUAUUCUAUAGACUUGGUGGAAAAGCUUUCCUUGAGGAAUCAAACCACAGAGGGCUAGGAUGAGAGGUUAGUAAUUUAAGUCACUGACUACUCAGAAUAUGAAUUCACAUCCUUGUUUAAAUGUUUACAGUUUGGUAGGUUGUAAAAUGGCUGCAAAUUCUUCCCAUCUCAGAUUGCACUCCUCUUUGCCAUGUGAUUUUCUUGUCCUUCCAUCAAGAGAUAGAGUCUUUUUCUCUACCUCUUAAAUCUGGGUUUGGCUAUGUGACCUGCUUUAGUCAAAGGAACAUUAAGAAAUGUAAUGCAGCCAGAGGCUUAAAAAACAAAAACAUUGGGCUUUGCCCUCUCUUGCUGCUGGAUCCCUUUUGUCACUACAUGAGGAAGCUCAGAACAGCCUGCUAGAAGAUGAGAAAACAGAGGGAAUAAAGACAAGGGUCCCAGGGGGGGCCCCUAUACC
rnacentral:lncRNA from 1 species